UACGGAGGGUGCAAGCGUUGUUCGGAAUUACUGGGCGUAAAGCGGGUGUAGGCGGCCGCGCAAGUCAGAUGUGAAAUCCCUGGGCCCAACCCAGGAACUGCAUUUGAUACUGCGCGGCUCGAGUCCCGGAGAGGAUGGCGGAAUUCCAGGUGUAGAGGUGAAAUUCGUAGAUAUCUGGAGGAACACCAGCGGCGAAGGCGGCCAUCUGGACGGUGACUGACGCUCAGACCCGAAAGCGUGGGGAGCAAACAGG
rnacentral:rRNA from 1 species